UGCAGUUGCUAAAAAAAAAGGAACGCAUCCACUGGAUCAUGGCAACGGCACGAGCACGAUCGGCUACCUACUCCGUCUUCAGAGUUCCUCCUUUCCUAUCUGAACUUGUAAACCAUUGCAACGCUGCGUGCGAGAGAAAGUGAAUCUGUGAUCCGCCCGUACCUCAGGUGUGUGCAGUCCCUCGCUCGGGAGGCAGCGCGCGCAGGUCCCGCGCCAUCCACGGCUAGAUCGACCUCCGCGGCAUGGCCCAUGAUCGUGGUGUUGUGUGAAUCUGCUGCAUGCUGCUACUGUACGUUUAGUUGCUGUCGUAGGCACGGACCAUUGAUGUCGUGCGCCCGUUUAUGACCGUCGCCGCCAACCUGCAGAGCCAUUGUCAGGGUUCGCCUGAGGCCUGGGCAUUGCUUGAGUUGAUGUCUUGCCUCAGAUCUGGAGCUCUGGUGGUGCGAUGAGAUCUUUGCCCGCAACGUGUUUGAUAAAAUGCGCCUGCGGUUUGUGCUAGAAGAAUGCGCAUGGCAUGAUGGCAUGCCAUUGCGCCAAGCUCUCUUGCCACUUUGGCAGAGAUGUUUGGUGCACGUGAUGGGGUCAACAGGAGGACGGAACACCGCUUGCUCUUAUAGAGCUGGAGUAGUAUGCAGAAUCUAUAUGAUCUCAUGGACCUGAGUACCUGAUCAUUUGUCUCAAAUGGGUAAAUAAUGUUUAUGGUGCACUUACGAAUGGAAGGCGGCGUGAGUCAAGGAGCUGGUGGAUGUGAUCUACCAUAUGCCGAUGGAUGUUUUGAAGGGAAGAUGGGGUUUUGUGCUGUCAGACGGCGAGGAUUGCAGAGUUGAAGACAUGCUCUGGUUGUUGGUGCUGCAUUUUGCAUGACCAGUUAGUUCUUGCAGAGCAGUCUACACACACCGAUGAGCAAUCGACUGAUUGAGCAUAAUUUGAAAGGUUUUGUUUGUUGGAAGACCUUGCAUUCUUUGUGGGCACGUGGGGUGCUGCACUUUGUGACUGUACUAGAGAUUUCAAGCGUGACUUUUGCAUCUGAACUGGACUAUUUCAUUGCCCAUUUGUGAUCCAUCUCCAACUAGACAUGUCUGUCCACCAAGGUAACGAACAUGAUUUCUCUUAUAAUUUUGCUUGUUUCAGGAAUGCCUACUGAUAUUACUGUAUAACUAGUAAUUUCCACGUGCAAAGGCAUGUUAAAUAUGUAUGACUAAGUAGAAAUGUUUGUUUAAAACUCACCUACAAUCUGCAAGCCCUGUUAAUCACAAUCACCAGGGGUGUGGAUAUGCUUAAAUAAAGGGGAUACUUUUUAGAUGUUUUCAGUUUCCAAUAUCAACAUGUGUGUUGCCUUUCUAACCAGAAUCGCACCAUAUUUUUUCCUUCAAAAUGCAGAGCGUGAUAUAUUUCCUUGUCCUGUUCACGUACCAUUAUUAUUGGUUUUGCCAGAUGUAAGUAAAGGAGAAUGUACAGCGGAUAUCUUUCAAAGCGUUAAUUUUGUACGUAUGUAGAGUUUUCAAAUGAUGGAUUAUUGUUUCACACUGACUCAACUGAAGGCUUACUGAUAAAUGCUUGAAGCUCUAAGUAUAAUCCUUUAUGCUCUAUUGGAUAUGAAAUUCAGACACGCUGAGAGUGAUCAAAAUCUAGCAUAAACAGAAGAUAAAGCAAACUGUUUCCAUUAUAUUUCUAUUGAUUGAACAGUGAAAAAGCUAAAUGAGAAACUUCUUGCAUAAAGUUAUAGUGUUAACAAUACUGCAACUCCCACAGCAUUCAUUCUGAGCUUUUGAUACUACUCUGUCAUUUUGAGGGAGACUGCUUAUCUACAAUCAUGCGUAGACAGCUUUGGAUCGAGAGCGUUAAGUUCAAACCAGAUAGAAAACUAGAAUGCUCACAAGAUAAAUUACCACGAGGUGCUGCAAGGUCUCACCCAACAACUUCUUGCAAAGUUGCAGUUACAAAGACCAGGCUUUGUUUGGAGGGAGCAUAGAUGGGUUGCGAAUGCAAGUGAAUACCAUUGCCAACAGUAAUGCAGCGAACUUUGGGAUCCUAGCAUGACGGUAGCAUCAGGUAAUUCAGUAAAGUGCGCUAUUAUCAGCAAAUUGCCAGGGAGAAUCACAUGGAACGAUGCACAAAUCUGUGAACUAUUGUUCCUGCAACAACGAUGUGAUAUGCAGAGUAUAUCCAUGCCACUAUUGAUUCAACAGAACCACAUAGCUCUGCCUUAUAUUUGACCACAGUUGAGCCCAUCUACGCAUAGUUGCAGACAAAGAGUGAAUGGAAAUUCUGGAUUAUCACUUCAGAUAUUUUCAUCUGCUGAAAAAGGCUUUACUAGGAGAGUUCAGUCAACCUGCUAUUCAGAAACGCGAGCUAUCAGGAGAUCUUUUUGCUCUUAUCUAUUCCAAUGGGACAAAAGAAGUCAUGGAACUAUGCAAACUUUAGAAAAAGAUGGAGCUGCCAAUUGUAUGAAAACGACCCUUUUUUUUUUCCAUUUCUCACUAGCCACUGUACUCUCUGUAGGCCUCAGAGAUAGUUCGCUUACUUGAACAUUCUUCUCAUAGCAAGCAAAUUUGCCAAAAAGAAAGCUAAACGCCGAUGAUAAAUACAAAACGGCAUUUGCUCUUUUGGAUUUAGGUUACCAAAUAUCAGGUACACUAUGGACAAUGCAUGUUUCUUCCUAAAAAUUUGUACAUGUCAGUGUCAUAGUAGAGAUCGGUGUGUGGUCCAAUCUUGCUUUAAGUUAGAUCCUUGUAAUUGAUGUAACGUUGGACCUUUGGCAUUUCUGCUAGCUGAAAGGGCAACCAGGUGUAGUGAACAAAGUUAAAUCUAUGAUGGGAGUGAUAAGUGGUCCCUUCUCUAUAAUGCAACCAAUUUCAUAAUCUGGGAGUUUGAUUUCUUUCUUUUUUUUACUAAAGUGCUACGACACUCUUUUCCUAAAUAUGCUCGGAAUACACUAUAUCCCGGCCUCAGUUUGUGUUAUAAGACACAAACUGUUAUUAGUGCUUGUGCCUUGGUUUUUUACUUUUUCUAUUGGUUUGUAAUCGUUCUCCCUUUUCUAAUGCUCCUCGAGCAUGUUUGACUGAUUCUGUUUCAUAUCUCUUAGUAAUUUCUGAAGGUCUGGUUUUCCGAAAAUAAAUGCCCGUUAAUUAUUGGAGCAUAUACUCUGACAUCUGGCUGUGGGAAUGACUGAUUACUCUUUUGACAUGACAAAUUUUGGGCAUCUUUAUCUAUCGCAUUGUUCCCGCCAGUUGAUCAGAUGCAUCGGGCCAUUGGUACACGGAGAUGCUGAAUAUGACGACAGAUUGUUCAUUGUUCAUGAACAGAACAUGUUCAGAAACGGCGAUAAUUGAGUAGAAUAAUUUUGUUAUGACGUUGUGCAUACGUACUAGCUGGUGGCUGCUAUGGUUUGUUCUUGAGCAGUGCACUUCCAUUAUUCCAUAGUUGUUUUAACUUUAUGUUGAGACAUAUGAACAGCAUUCUGAUUGCCCUUUUCCUGAACAACUAUUGUAGUAGGUUUCCUGACAGGCACCAUCUACUUGCCCAGUUCAAUGGUUCUGCUAUCCUUUACACUUCACUUCAGAGUUGGAUCGCAGGUACGCGCACUCUGUCCUUAACUGAAGAAAAAUACAGCUAUCUUUUACAGUGCGUGAUACAAAUCAAAGAAUUUGCGCUACCUACCUCUAACUUUGGUAAUUUAUCGCAUGAAUAACAUUGUUAUUGGCCAAGUUGAAUAUAGUGAAAUUACAAUUGCCAUGAAACAUACUUUCUUGAUGUUUUAUUUAUUCGUUUCUUACCGACAUAUAUCGUAUAAAAGGCAAUGUUAAAAGCUGAUGGCAAGAGCUGUUGAGAAUAACAGAAAUGCAGACUCUGGCAUGGACAGGCCACUAAUAACACAUAGCUUUCUCUUUCUGCAUGACUAUGAUAGGUUUUGCCGGUAUUGGUAUUGCGGGAUGCACAUCCCCGUGGUCCUGGGCGGCAAAGGCUAACCGGAAUCUGGAAUCUCCACGCUCAACCUCUGAAACUCUUCAAUUAUAUCACCCAUUUGCAGCUGCAGAAUCUGAAUAUUUGCGCAAAGGCGGAACGCGGACAUGACACGCCCGAAAGCGCGGCGGCGUCCAUGCCGUCGACCUCCACGGCCACCACCGCGCCCAGUGGAAAUGGAGGACAUAGAGACCGGAAAGCGACGCCGCCCGCGGUGCCGCCACUUUCACCCCACACGAGCAAAAGCCGCUGGAGGAGCAGGACGCGAGACAAGCUGUGGUUAGUUACCACUGCCACUUCGCCGGGACGGGAGGAGCUCGGCAGGGAGACGGAAACAAAUGGGAAAGCAGGGGGAAAGCAAGAGCAUGGGAAGGCACCGAGCUAGGCCGGCAGGCACACGGGGCGCCCACUUCACCGGCCCUGCGUGCGUGGUCGCGUUGGAUUUGCAUGAAUCUUGCGCGUAGCCCCACCGCCUCGCAAAGUCGCAAGUUGCGCUGCGCCGGGGUGCUUUUGGCCCCUCGGCGCGUGGCUGGAGCCGGUGCCAGUGCGCGCGCCACCGGGAGGCCAUGGGGCAGGCCAUGAUGGCGGCGGCAGAGCGGCAAGGGCCGGCCGGCCGCUAAACAAAGCCAGACGGUUAGCGGCAGAGGGGACACCAACCACCUCGUCCCCGUGGGAUUCAGUUCAUAGACGCUCUCUCUGAUGCGGAGCUUUGCGACGCUGAUGAUGAGGUUUUGGCUAGUCUUACCAACUUAGUUUUCAGGUCCGCUUUUUCGGCUUUGUCGUGGCCGGACCAGGCGGCCCAUUCGCCGGUCACCGGCGUAUUAUUAUAGCGCGCUAAUGCGAUCUGGGGCACUGAUGGAAUUGGCAGGGCAGUGGGCGAGGGCGAAUGAUUCGCCGGGGAGGAAAGCGGAGUGGUCAGGUCGGGACGUCAGGUGCUCCGCGAAAAAGAGCGACGUGACACAAGUCACGGAGCUGAAUCUUCCCCGCGCAAGAGCUGAGUCACCCACCACCACGAGACAACGGGCACCGCCCGAUCCAGCCACCGGUGCCGACGACAGUUCACCGUGCAUUUCGUCGGCGCCGGGAGGUGCUCCGUGCGGCAGUAAGCUGCUGGGAAUCAUUGCCCUGCUACGAAACGCGCCCGCUGCAACCGCCUCCAGAGUGCAACAGACAAUCACUGUGUGCCACUGGAGCUCUGGGGACCGGCCGGCACCUGCAGCGCUGCACGUAGUACGUCCGGAGAUGGUGAGGGCCAGGCGUGUGUGCGGGCAAGCUGGGUAAUGAGUGGACGAAUGAGUGUAGCGAGAGCAACUCCAAAUGGUCGACCCAUUCGACCCAUUUCGUCCGCCUGCGUCCGUUUGGGUCGGCGUGGACAAAAGUGGCGGCCCAACGCACCGAUCCAAAUCCAAAUCACGUCCACGUCGCGUCCGUGCCGACGCAUUUGCGGUCCAAAUUUGCGUCCCAAAUGCGUCGGCGCGGACGCGGAACGGACGUUUCGCGUGCCUUCUCGCUGUCCGCCGCGUCCCCACAUGACGGCCGUCCAACUACCCGCUGCCCACGCGGUCAGCUUAAUUUAUGACCACGGGCCCACGUGUCAGCGACGGCGCUCGUCCUUUUUUAAGCCGACCGUGUGGCGGGGGCCGUCCUCAUCCAAACUCGCCGUCCAGAUCUGCCAAGCUUUGCUCCCCCGUCGCCGGCAAACCCUAGCCACCACAACCACAGCGAGAUGGGCCUCUUCUCCGGCGCCAGCGGCAGCAAGGCCAAGGGCAAUGCCCCCGCCACCCCUUUUCCCUCAGAGUUCCUCCCACCUCCGCCUCCGCCGGCGCCUCGCCGGCAGAGGCAGCGCGUGAACGUGCCAGUGCACCAGGCGAAGUGACACUGGCAGCACCGCCAGCCUCUGCCGUAUCCCGACGUGACCCUGCCGCACGACUGGCAUCUGGAUCCAGAUAGGAUCCCAGUGCCGGUGGCGCCGCGGACGGCUCGGGCUCACGCGGAGGAGGUGCGGCGCCGGCGGGCGCUGCUGACGUCGGAGCAGCGCCGCGAGGCCGCCUACGCAACCGACUCGCCCAACUGGGCGAGGUGGUUUGCCUUCGAGCACGAGGAGGCGAGGCGACGGGGCGUGCGCAAGGUCGACCGGAGCUCGCCGCCGCCAGCACUCGUCGUCCGCGAGGAGGACCAGGCGGCGGAGAACGCCUACCAGGCGGCCCUUGCGGUCGUCUACCGGGAGAGCGAGGAGGACGAGCGGCGCAGGGCGAAGGCGGCGGAGGAAGAGGAGGCUCGGUA